rnacentral:lncRNA from 1 species
UCUGAGUGAAGAACAUGCCAGGCCCACCUGUGGACUCCAGUCGCUGGUGAUGAAGCACCUGUCAUUCUGGAUAAGGAUAGCAUGUUCAUAAAAGGGAAAUGAGUGGAGAAGGAGGGAAGGAGUUGUGAGCAAAGCAUUUAAAGCGUUGCCAGAAUAUAAGCAACAGUGCUUCAUGUCGUGAAAAACUGAGAAAAGGAGUCUUUAUGUACAGGAAGAACUCAGCAGCUGACCUCAAGAAGAAAGGAAAACAUCCUCUCUUCACUUUUCUCUGGGAUGCCUGUGCCCAGGGUCUUGAGUUUCCGACUGGGGCAUAAUGGAUUUUUGGUGGCCUGUGACUUUAUUAUGGGUCUUUUCCCAAAGUGUUUUGAAAUGAUUUUAUCCAACAUGGAUGUCUUGAUCCAAG